rnacentral:rRNA from 1 species
UUUUUAAAACUAUAAGGGUGCCUAUUUUUAUUAAUUUAUUUCUUAAAUUUUGAUUUUUAAACUAGGAUUAGAUACCCUAUUAUUUUGAUACGUAAGUUUAUUAUGCCUAGGUAGUAAUAGUUAUGGUCUUGAAACUUAAAAAAUUUGGCGGUAUUUUAGUCUGUUCAGAGGAACUUGUUCUGUAAUCGAUAGUCCACGUUGGACCUUACUUGGCCUUGUAUUCAGUUUGUAUACCGCCGUUAUUGAGUAUUUUAUUAGAAUAAUAAUUUUCAAUUACUUUAAUUAAGGUUAAUAUCAGGUCAAGGUGCAGCUUAUGGCCGAGGUUGCAAUGAGUUACAAUAAAUUUAUUUAUAUGGAUAUUGGGUUUAAAUAUCUGAUUGAAGGUGGAUUUGAUGGUAAAAUUAUUUAGAAAGAUGAUUUGAUUCUGGCUCUAGAAUAUGUAC